rnacentral:rRNA from 1 species
GAGCGGUAGCACAGAGAGAUUGUGCUCCUUUGACCAGCGGGGGACGGGUGAGUGAUGUCUGGGAGACUGCCUGAUGGAGGGGGAGAACUACUGGAAACGGUAGCUAGUACCGCAUAAAGUCGCACGACCAAAGUGAGGGAGCUUCCGGCCUCCCGUGAUCAGAUGUGUCCGCAUGGGAGUAGCUAGUAAGUGGGGGAACGGCUCACCUACGCGAGCAUCCCUCCCUGGUCUGAGAGGAUGACUGACCACACUGGAAGUGAGAGACGGUCCANACUCCUACAGGAGGGAGCAGUGGGGGAUAUUGCUCAAUGGGCGCGAGCCUGAUGCAUCCAUGCCGCGUGUGUGAAGAAAGCCUUCCGGUUGUAAAGCACUUUCUUCGGGGAGGAAGGAGUUGUGGUUAAUAACCUUGUGGAUUGAGGUUACCCGCACAAAAAACACCGGCUAACUCCCUGCCAGCAGCCGCGGUAAUACGGAGGGUGGGAGCGUUAAUCGGAAUUACUGGGCGUAAAGCGCACGCACGCGGGCUGUCAAGUCAGAUGUGUGAUCCCCGGGCUCAACCUGGGAGCUGCAUUCAAAACUGGCAGGCUAGAGUCUUGUAUAGGGGGGUAGAAUUCCAUGUGUGUCGGUGAGAUGCGUGCAGAUCUGUAGGAAUACCGGUGGCGAANGCGGGCCCCUGGACAAANACAGACGCUCACGUGCGAGAGCGUGNGGA